UACGUAGGGGGCAAGCGUUGUCCGGAUUUAUUGGGCGUAAAGAGCUCGUAGGCGGCUUGGCAAGUCGGGUGUGAAAACUCCAGGCUCAACCUGGAGAUGCCACUCGAGACUGCUAUGGCUAGAGUCCGGUAGGGGACCACGGAAUUCCUGGUGUAGCGGUGAAAUGCGCAGAUAUCAGGAGGAACACCGGUGGCGAAGGCGGUGGUCUGGGCCAGCACUGACGCUGAGGAGCGAAAGCGUGGGGAGCAAACAGG
rnacentral:rRNA from 1 species